UAGGGAAUAUUAGUAAUGGGCGAAAGCCUGAACUAGCAACGCCGCGUGUGCGAAGAAGGCCUUCGGGUUGUAAAGCACUUUUUGAGAGGAUGAGGAAGGACGGUACUCUCAGAAUAAGUCUCGGCUAACUACGUGCCAGCAGCCGCGGUAACACGUAGGAGGCGAACGUUAUCCGGAUUUACUGGGCGCAAAGCGCGUGUAGGUGGUUUGGUAAGUAGGGCGUGAAAGCUCCUGGCUCAACUGGGAGAGGCCGUUCUAAACUGCCGAACUAGAGGAUGGUAGAGGGAGGUGGAAUUCCGGGUGUAGCGGUGGAAUGCGCAGAUAUCCGGAGGAAUACCAGUGGCGAAAGCGGCUUCCUGGACCACUCCUGACACUCAGACGCGAAAGCUAGGGUAGCAAACGG
rnacentral:rRNA from 1 species